rnacentral:rRNA from 1 species
GGACUACAAGGGUUUCUAAUCCUGUUCGCUCCCCUAGCUUUCGCGCCUCAGCGUCAGGUUCCAGCCAGGACACUGCCUUCGCCUUUGGUAUUCCUCCGGAUAUCUACGCAUUUCACCACUCCACCCGGAAUUCUAUGUCCCUCUCUGGCCCUCCAGCCCCUCAGUUUUCAGAAUCCUUGCUCAGUUAAGCCGAGCACUGUCACUCCAAACUUGGGAGGCCGCCUGCACGCCCUUUACGCCCAGUAACUCCGGACAACGCUCGCCCCCUACGUAUUACCGCGGCUGCUGGCAC